rnacentral:lncRNA from 1 species
CAAGCCUUAUCACCUUGGAGCUUCACCAGGCACCUGCAGCUCCUGUUUCUGGUCCAUGAUGUGGAAAAGACCCUGGAUGGAGGAGAGAAGUCUUAGCAUCCUGCAGGACUCCUCUCUUGCUUUGCCUGGCAAGGCUUGCACCAAGAGCCUCCGUGGUGAUCUUCCCCCUGGCUCUAUAUGAUUCUGAAGGAUCAGAGGAUAUUCCACCCAGAAGAAAAGAUUAAGUGGAAGGACCUGGCUGAAGCCCGUGGGCUGCCUUUCUCUCCUCUCAAGCUGAACCAUGACAGCCCCAAGGCAGGAAGGAACAAGAAGCCAGGAAAACCUCAUGUUCAAAGCCAGUGGACUUAGUUUCCAAUGCUCUAUGACCCGAAGAGGCUCCUUCAUCUUGCUUAGCUUUAGCUUGGGUGCUGAGAUGGGUGGGCAGCACUGCAUGUCCCCACAAACUUCUGAGAUGUUCUGUAGCUUCCAAUCAGGAAGAAAAGAAAAAAUCUGAUUCCUCAGGGCAGAGGAGGCCAUGGAGCCCCAGAAGAUCAGGCAGGUGCCGCAGAAGCCAGCUCACUCUGGUGGGCACAAGGGGGAGGGAAACCCUGGUCCUCAGCUUAGUCACUGCCACCCUGCCUUUGUGGUGCCUUGCCAUCCUACCUCUUCAGUGCUGGCCUGGCCCUGACCUGAGGCUCACCCACUGGCCCUCUUUCUGCAUUUGGCCUUGGGGCAGCUGAGAACAGGGCUGGGUGCUUGCCCUGCCUGGGAUACCUUUGGCCU